rnacentral:misc_RNA from 1 species
UUUUUUUUUUGUCAGAUAAAGAGUGCUACAUUAAGGGUGCUACGAUCAGCAAAACAUGCAGUACCACAUGUUAAUAAAAUUACAAUAAUGAGAUAUUUGCAUAAAUUAUGCUUCAUACCUUCACCGAAAACAUUUCAACUGGAAACAUAACAUAUGCGACUAUUAUUUUUAACCCAUGCAUUGCAGAAUUUAAUUUACUUAAAAUGGUUACAG